rnacentral:rRNA from 1 species
UACGAAGGGUGCAAGCGUUAAUCGGAAUUACUGGGCGUAAAGCGUGCGCAGGCGGUUGUGCAAGACAGAUGUGAAAUCCCCGGGCUUAACCUGGGAACUGCAUUUGUGACUGCACGGCUAGAGUGCGGCAGAGGGGGAUGGAAUUCCGCGUGUAGCAGUGAAAUGCGUAGAUAUGCGGAGGAACACCGAUGGCGAAGGCAAUCCCCUGGGCCUGCACUGACGCUCAUGCACGAAAGCGUGGGGAGCAAACAGG